AAUAAGUGCAGUUUUGCACUAUUCACGUUCAACGUUUGAUCGUUCGUCUUAUUUGAAAACUUUUUAUAAUUAGUAUUUUUAUUGCUAUUAGAUGAUAAAAUAUGAAUAACAUUUUAUGUGUGACUAAAUAUUUUCAAAAUUUUCAAAUAAGACAUACGGUCAAACGUUGGACACGGAUAUCCACGGCUGCACUUAUU
rnacentral:pre_miRNA from 1 species